rnacentral:tRNA from 1 species
GGAGGGGUAGCGAAGCCCGGUCAAACGCGCAGGACUCAAGAUCAAUGCGCAUGCAUGACGACAUCAGUUACUCCCGCAACACCUACACGAGCGCGGGAUGAGUGAUCCCGUCCCUCAGGGGUUCGUGGGUUCGAAUCCCACCCCCUCCA